CCUAUUUGGGCCUGUAAAGUUCCUGUUGGACUAGUUGUUAAACCCCUAAGCUGGGUUUUCUUGAUUAAAGUUUAGUUGAGAUUUUUACAAAAUGCUAGUUUGGGCAUUUAAAUCUCUUAAAUUUUUUUUGUCAGUUAAGGGCUUCGGAAUCAGAAUCUUCCGAAAAUUUCCAAAUUUUUUCGGAAUCGGAAUCGGAACUCUAUAUUGAAUUCCAAAAGAUAUUGGAUUGGAAUUGGAAUUGCUAUUUCCGAUCCGAUCCGGCCGAAAGACAGCCCAUGUCGUUAACUUCAUCUAAAACUCUCUUAAAAUUGAUUAUGUUGCAAGGAUAUUUUUAUAGUUUCAUACACAUAGAUCAUUAUCCACUAAUUGAAGAGUGACAUGGCAAGUGGAGCCCACCUCCACACACAUAAAAAUGUAAUUAGAUGUUCUAAUUAUUAAAACUAAUUAAAAUAAAAAACACAAAAUAAAAUUAGAUCCCAGCCGCCCAACCUCCAUCCCCACGCCCUUCGUCUCCUGCAAAUACCUUGGAAGAAAGAAACUCAUCCCGCCCCUAUCUCAGCCUCCCAAGCUCUCAUCCCCAUCUCAACCUCAACACCCAAUUUCAAAUCUGGGUUAUUUGAAACCCAGCCCCCUCUCCCCAGCUCUCUCUCUCUCUCUCUCUCGCUCUCUCUCGCACAGAUUAGCAGCUUCAACCAUCCCCAUCAUCAUUACCUGCGUACCCAUCUCCUACCCAUCGGAAACUGGAGCCGUGCUUUGUGAGACCUCGUUACAAAUUUGGAGGCCUUUGGUUUCCCCUGCCUCCCUUCGUCAAACCAUCUUCUGGGUAUUCAUGGAUUUUGAUCCAUUUUUGUUGUAUGGUGGAUUGGUUGGUUGGGGUAUGGGCUGUGGAUGAUUGGAUCUAGUGAGGGAAAAGGGAAAUUAUGGCUGUAGGGAGAGAAAGUUGGGGCUGUGGGGUGGGAAGCAAAAGGAGAUGCGAUGCUUUUGUUUUCUUACUAAUAAUUUAAUUUUUAAUUUCU
rnacentral:lncRNA from 1 species